ACUCCUACGGGAGGCAGCAGUGGGGAAUAUUGCACAAUGGGGAAACCCUGAUGCAGCCAUGCCGCGUGUGUGAAGAAGGCCUCGGUUGUAAAGCACUUCAGUAGGGAGGAAGGUAGUGUAGUUAACACCUGCACUAUUUGUACGUUACCUACAGAAGAAGCACCGGCUAACUCCGUGCCAGCAGCCGCGGUAAUACGGAGGGGUGCGAGCGUUAAUCGGAAUUACUGGGCGUAAAGCGCAUGCAGGCGGCCUGUUAAGUCAGAUGUGAAAGCCCGGGGGCUUAACCUCGGAAUUGCAUUUGAAACUGGCAGGCUAGAGUCUUGUAGAGGGGGUAGAAUUUCAGGUGUAGCGGUGAAAUGCGUAGAGAUCUGAAGGAAUACCAGU
rnacentral:rRNA from 1 species